GAGGGCGCGGGCAGGGCCGCACCUGGGCCGGGCCGCCGCGGGAGGGAGGUGCGGCGGGCGGAGGUGGGAGCGCAGCCGGGCAGGGGAGGGCUGUCCCGGCUGCUCCCGGGAGCUGCUGCUGGGCGGGACGGAGCUCAGCGCUCCCCUCAGGAAGUUAUUUUAGAACGAAAGAAUACAUCUGAGAAACAAGAUGUCUCCUGCCGGCAGUCAGUACCAAGAUAAGCAAUACAGGCACCAUGAGAACCAUAGAUCCGACAGAUACAAAGAAGACAGAAGAGCGAGAAAACCAUACCAAAACAAUGCAAGAUCAACAGAAGACAUUCGAGGUGGCCAGCACUCAAGAACUUCUACUGUCUGCUCAGACCAUUAUUCUAAAACCUCAGGAGCAGCACGGGAGUAUUUUGGCCCACAACCAGAGUUUUAUCCUCCCAAGGAAACCUUCUCAAUGAAGUGUUCAAAGGUAUGCACAACAAGAGGUAUGUGAGACUCUUACUGCCUGCCAUCCACCCCUCUCCUUCCAAGGACUUGUCUUGUUUUUGGUUUCUGUGUUU
rnacentral:lncRNA from 1 species